rnacentral:lncRNA from 1 species
GAAAAUGUUUGAUCAAGAGAAAAGGCUACGAGCUUCAUUCCUAUACAUAUGACUUAAGCAACGUUGCUUCCAAGUUUGCUUCAAAAAGGCCUUGUCUCUAAUUGUUACAUGAAGCCUUUAGACUCUCAAUACUUACGAUACGAAAGGUAUUUACCGCAAAGAGGCUAUCGAUCAUUCCACCAAAAAUGUCUGUUGUCAAGUGCAAAGACAAGUUUUGAUCGGUUCAGAAUUAUUAAAGUGUAAAGAAAGUCAACCCUACACUAAGGCAAGGCUUGAGAAUGUCUAUACAGAUGCUAUGAAACAAUGAUGCGGGCUUUAGAACCACAUAAGAAAACAUAAGCCAUCGUACAAGUGAUUUUGAUGUUGUGAAAUAUAUUGCCAAGAGAUCUG